rnacentral:rRNA from 1 species
CCUACGGGGGGCAGCAGUGGGGGAUAUUGCACAAUGGGGGGAACCCUGAUGCAGCGACGCCGCGUGGGUGAAGAAGCGCCUCGGCGCGUAAAGCCCUGUCAGCAGGGAAGAAAAUGACGGUACCUGAAGAAGAAGCCCCGGCUAACUACGUGCCAGCAGCCGCGGUAAUACGUAGGGGGCAAGGGUUAUCGGGAUUUACUGGGGGUAAAGGGGGCGCAGACGGCGAUGCAAGCCAGAGGGGAAAGCCGGGGGCCGAACCCCGGGACUGCUCUUGGAACUGAGUGGCUGGAGGGCAGGAGGGGCAGGCGGAAUUCCUGGUGUAGAGGUGAAAUGCGUAGAUAUCAGGAGGAACACCGGUGGCGAAGGCGGCCUGCUGGACUGCAACUGACGUUGAGGCCCGAAAGCGUGGGGAGCAAACAGGAUUAGAUACCCCUGUAGUC